GACGAACGCUGGCGGCGUGCCUAAUACAUGCAAGUAGAACGCUGAAGAGAGGAGCUUGCUCUUCUUGGAUGAGUUGCGAACGGGUGAGUAACGCGUAGGUAACCUGCCUUGUAGCGGGGGAUAACUAUUGGAAACGAUAGCUAAUACCGCAUAACAAUGGAUGACACAUGUCAUUUAUUUGAAAGGGGCAAUUGCUCCACUACAAGAUGGACCUGCGUUGUAUUAGCUAGUAGGUGAGGUAACGGCUCACCUAGGCGACGAUACAUAGCCGACCUGAGAGGGUGAUCGGCCACACUGGGACUGAGACACGGCCCAGACUCCUACGGGAGGCAGCAGUAGGGAAUCUUCGGCAAUAGGGGCAACCCUGACCGAGCAACGCCGCGUGAGUGAAGAAGGUUUUCGGAUCGUAAAGCUCUGUUGUAAGUCAAGAACGAGUGUGAGAGUGGAAAGUUCACACUGUGACGGUAGCUUACCAGAAAGGGACGGCUAACUACGUG
rnacentral:rRNA from 1 species